rnacentral:hammerhead_ribozyme from 1 species
GUACUGAUGACGAGUCCCAAACUAGGAUGAAACAGCUGUCCAGUAC